rnacentral:rRNA from 1 species
UGGGGAAUAUUGCACAAUGGGCGCAAGCCUGAUGCAGCCAUGCCGCGUGUGUGAAGAAGGCCUUCGGGUUGUAAAGCACUUUCAGCGAGGAGGAAGGUGGUGAGCUUAAUACGCUCAUCAAUUGACGUUACUCGCAGAAGAAGCACCGGCUAACUCCGUGCCAGCAGCCGCGGUAAUACGGAGGGUGCAAGCGUUAAUCGGAAUUACUGGGCGUAAAGCGCACGCAGGCGGUUUGUUAAGUCAGAUGUGAAAUCCCCGGGCUCAACCUGGGAACUGCAUUUGAAACUGGCAAGCUAGAGUCUCGUAGAGGGGGGUAGAAUUCCAGGUGUAGCGGUGGAAUGCGUAGAGAUCUGGAGGAAUACCGGUGGCGAAGGCGGCCCCCUGGACGAAGACUGACGCUCAGGUGCGAAAGCGUGGGGCAGCAAACAGGAUUAGAUACCCUGGUAGUCCACGCUGUAAACGAUGUCGAUUUUGGAGGUUGUGCCCCUUGAGGCGUGGCUUCCGGAGCUAACGCGUUAAAUCGACCGCCUGGGGAGUACGGCCGCAAGGUUAAAACUU